CCUGGUUGAUCCUGCCAGUAGCAUGUUUGUCUCAGAGAUUAAGCCAUGCAUGUCUAAGUAUGCAUGGCUGGUACAGUGAAACUGCGAAUGGCUCAUUAAAUCAGUUAUGGUUCCUUUAGUUGCUCACUCCUCUUCUACCUGGAUAACUUAAUUUUAGAGGUAGUACAAGCUGACAGAUGCUGAACCCUUCGUGGCGGAUGCAUGCAGUUAUCAGAUCAAAACCAACCCGGUUAGCCCCUCUCUGGCCCCAGUUGGGGGGUGGGCGCCUGCGGCUUUCGGGACUGUAGAUAACCUCCGUCCCAUCACACACCCCCCGUGGCAGUGACAACCCAUUCAAAUGUCUGCCCUAUCAACUUUUGAUGGCAGUUGCCAUGCUAACCAUGGUGCCCAUGGGUGACGGCAUCAGGGUUCAUUUCCAGAGAUGGAGCCUGAAAAAUGGCGACCACAUCCAGGGAAGGCAGCAGGCAUGCAAGUUACCUACUCCGGACCUGGGGAGGUAGUGAUGAAAAAUAAUACAGGACUCUUUUGAGGUCCUGUAAUGGGAAUGAGUCCACUUUAAAUCCUUUAAUGAGGAUCCAUUGGAGGGCAAGUCUGAUGCCAGUAGCUGCAGUAAUUCCAGCUCCAAUAGCGUAUAUUAAAGAUACUGCAGUUAAAAAGCUCCUAGUUGGAUCUUGGGGGCUGGUGGUGCCAACGCUAUGCUCUUAGCUGAGUGUACUGUGGGGCCGAAGUGUUUGAAAAAAUUAGUGUUCAAAGCAGGCCUGAGCCACCUGGAAGAGGACCGUGGUUCUAUUUUGUGGGUUUUUCAACUGAGGCCAUGAUUAAGAGGGACGGCUGGCAGGCUUUCGUAUUGUGCCACUAGAGACAAGAUGGACCAGAGUGAAAGCAUUUCCCAAGAAUAUUUUCAUUAAUCAAGAACGAAAGUCGGAGGUUUGAAGAUGAUCAGAUACCAUCGUAGUUCCGACCAUAAACAAUACUGAUUGGUGAUGCAGCGGCAUUAUUCCCAUGACCUGCCAGGCAGCUUCUGUGAAACCAAAGUCUUUGGGUUCUGGGGGAAGUAUGGUUGCAAAGCUGAAACUUAAAGGAAUUAAUGGAUGGGCACCACCAGGAGUGGAGCCUGUGGCUUAAUUUGACUCAACACGGGAAACCUCACCCAGACAUGGACAGGAUUGACAGCUCUUGAUUCCGUGAGUGGUGGUGCAUGGCUGUUCUUGGUGCAGCGAUUUGUCUGCCUAAUUCCGAUAAUAAACGAGACUCUGGCAUGCUAACUAGUUAUGCGACCCCAGAGUGGUCAGCGUCCUCAAACUUCUUAGAGGGACAAGUGGCAUUCAGCCACCCGAGAUUGAGCAAUAACAGGUCUGUGAUGCCCUUAGAUGUCUGGGGCUGCACGUGCAUUACACUGGCUCAGUGUGUGCCUAGCCUAUGCUGGCGGGUACGGGUAACCCCUUGAACCCCAUUUGUGAUGGGGAUGGGGGAUUGCAAUUAUUCCCCAUGAAUGAGCAAUUCCCAGUAAGUGUGGGUCAUAAGCUUGCGUUAAGUCCCUGCCCUUUGUACCACACCGCCAGUCGCUAAUACCGAUUGGAUGGUUUAGUGAGACCCUCAGAUACCAAAUCGACCUCGUAGGACUCUUAGCAGUGGAUCACUCAGCUCGUGCAUCGAAGAAUGCAGCUAGUUGUGAGAAUUUGAAUUGCAGGACACGUUGAUCAUCGACACUUC
rnacentral:rRNA from 1 species